rnacentral:misc_RNA from 1 species
ACAAGCCGUGAAAAGGUCGCCUUGAAAAAGGAUCGAUCUAUCACCUGGCCACCCUUGUUUACCUUAACCUGUUGCUUUGGUGGGCCCGCCGCAAGGCCGCCGGGGAGCUUUGCUCCUGGGCCCGUGCCCACCAAAGUCUUACUGAACUCAAGGAUUUUUUGCUGUCUGAGUGUGAAAGCGUAAUUUUUA